rnacentral:lncRNA from 1 species
GUGCUGUGGGUGCGGCUCUAAAAAAAAAAAAAAGAAUAUUGAGAGACAAUUCAUAAAAGAGGACAUAAAUUUUUAACUUUAAUAAAAAUCAGAAUGAUGAAAUGUCAUCCUGACAUUUAAAUUAACAGAUAUUUUUGAAAAUCAGAACAGGUAAAUAUGUCUUAAAUUAGCAGAUGUUUUACAGUGUUCUGUCAAUUUUUUGCCAUACAGCAUGGUAACCCAGUUACACAUACAUGUAUACAUUCUUUUUUCGCACAUUAUCAUGCUCCAUCAUAAGUGACCAGUCAUAGUUCCCAGUGCUACACAGCAGGAUCUCAUUGCUAAUCCAUUUCAAAGGAAAUAGUCUGCAUCUAUUAACCCCAAGCACGCCGUCCAUCCCACUCCCUCCCCCUUCCCCUUGGCAACCACAAGUCUAUUCUCCAAGUCCAUGAUUGACAGAACACUGUAAACCAGCUAUAGUGGAAAAAAUAAAUAUCUAUCUAUCUAUAUAUAGACAGAUAUAUAUGUAUGUAAAUCAUCAGAUGUUUUGAAAAUAAUGCUGUACUAAUCUCCCACGUUGCCAUAAAAAAGUACAGCAAACUGGAUGGCUUAAAACAAUAUAAAUGUAUUCUCUCAGAGUUCUGUGGGAAAGGAGUCUGAAAUCAAGGUGUUGAUAGGGCCAUGCUGCCUUGAAGAGAGAUUUCUUCUUUGUCUCUUCCAGCAUUUGAUAGCCUCAGGCUUUCCUCAGUUUGUGUUUCUGUAACUCCAAUCUUUGCCUCUGUCUUUAUAUGACCAGCUUUCUUCUGUGUCUGUCUCUUUCCUUCUUAUAAAGAUACGGGGUCCACCCUAAUUCAAUAUGACCUCAUCUCAAAUUGAAAACAUCUAACCCUAAUUCCAGAUAAACUCAAAAUCAUAGUUCCCAGGAGCUAGGACUUCAGCAUAUCUUUUAACAUAAUAUAACCCACAACAAACUCUAUUCCAUGCUGGUAAAUUAGUAAAGCCUUUGUGCAAAGCACUUUAGUGAUAAUCUUUCUUCUAACUAAUUUCUUAUGGGAAUUUAUGCUGAGACUAAACAAAUGUAAAUUACAGUUGUAUACAAAAGUGCUAUUUGAAGCAUUAGUAAUGGGAUUAUUUAGAAGGAAUCUGUAAGUUAAAAAUGGCGAAUUGAACACUUUUUGGUACCUCCCUAGGAUGAAAUAUUAAGAGGACACUAAAAAUACUGACAAUUUUUCAAUAUGCAAAAUCUCAGAUAAUCCAAGAAAUACUAACACAAUCAGUUAGAUUAUAUUUUUAACUAUAAAAUUAGCCAAAAAUCAAAGAAAACGAACAAGCAUCUAGCACCAACAUAAAGUGCCAUUGGUAAGUGAAUAAGGAAGCGGGCAUUCUACAGUUGGCCAACAGGUAUAUAAAGUGCUCAAAAGUGUCUUGGGAGGUCAUUUGACAGUACAUGUCAAUGCCUUAGAAAUAUUCCUGCCUUUGGUUUACUAAUUCCCCUUCUAGAAACUCUUUUUAAAGAAAUAAUCUUGUAUUGGUAAAAAAAUUUGUUCAUGAGACUAUUUACUGGAGUUAAUUGUAUUGAAAAAUUACAAACUAAAUAUUCAACAGUAAUCAGUAGGUGUAACAAGUAAUAAGACAUUCUGAUAAUAAAAUACUAUAUUUAAUGACAUGGGAAGAUGGGGGAUAAACACUUUAAAGGGGCAAAAAAAAUGAUAAAGUAGUAUUUGUAAUAUUAUCUCAUUUGUAUAAUAAAGCCCAUCUAUGAGUAUAGAAGAGAGUAUAAGUUUAUAAACCAAAUUUCAAGAACGGUGAGAUUGUGGGGAAUACACAUGCUCUUGAGCAUUAGAUAAGUUAAAACAGCUUUCAAAAGCAUGAUUUGCUUUCUUGAAGUUGUUCACUGACUCAAAAGGGAUUUUAUUGCCAUUUUCAUAUUGGAUAAUUUGUAGUAUUGAGUAGAUGAAUACUUGAAGUAUGUGGAUACUUAGAAGUGGAGAGGACCUAGAAGGAAACUUAAUUUUGUUCUGUUUUCUAAAAGAUACAUGGGAUUUAAUCAGGAAAUGGGAAAUUUCAUAUUGAUAAUAUUUAGCUUUUACACAUAGAAAAAAUAAAAUAUAAUUUGGCUGUUAUCAUAAAAAAGAUUGCUUAGUUUCCAAAUAUCUGAAAGCUAGAAAAAAUAUUUUAGAAAUAAAUUGAGCCUGCAACAAAGUUUAAAAAAGAAUAAAAUUACAUUUAAAAUGUUAGUCUAAAAAUUGCAAGGUUUUGGGGGUUUAGAGAUUACUUGAUUAAGAAGUUUAUUACAUAAGAAAAAAUGUUAGGAUAUUUUUCUUAGAAAUAACCACAAGUUGGGAUCUGUGCAAUAUCAUCACAAUGUUGGAACUUCUUUCCCUGCUCUGUUAAAUUUGUGGCUCGAUUAUUAUAAUUUCCAAUAUGCUAUACUUUAUUUUUAUUCUACAGCCCUUUCUGUGUGGUCACGGUUUUAACAUUGCUGUCUUGUUCCAAGACACAUGAGUGCCAAAUGAACUUCAGUAACUCUUAAGAAGACAAUGUUUCACUCUUUACUCUCUGUUCCUUGCCCUUAACUAAUGAAGUUCUUUGUGUAAAAUCAGGAAGUUGUCUAUAUAUAUUUUAAAACAGCCAGAAGGGGUCUCAGCAGAUAUGUAUAAAAGAUUUUACGCUUACAUAAGGUUUAUCUUAUUUCUUCCAACAGCUUAUUUUGUAGGCAGUUGUUAUAUGUUUCAUAUGGUUUGUUCUCUUGUACGUGGCCUUUCGUAAAAUGAGAACUAGAGGUGAGCCCUCCUUAUUGAGCCUGUUAACACUGAUUCCUGACUUAAAUUGUCCAACGGGAUUUUUAUGCUCACACGAUGCCUAUAAUAUUGCUUCCAACAACUUGUUUUAUGGCAGUUGGUCCCUUGCCAGGUGCGCUUUUCCAUAGGCUGCCUCAUGACAUGUCAGCUGUACACUUCCCGGAUGAGCCUCUCCAAGAGAGUGGGGGAGAAACACUGCCAAAAUGGAAGCCCUAUUCUUUUCAUAACUGCAUCUCAGAAAUGAUAUCUUCUCACUUAGGCCAUUUUAUGUUCAUUAGAAGUAAAAUAAGUCAAGCCAGCACUCUACAUGAAGGAAUUAUACCAUGGUAUAAAUCUGGGGAGGAAAGAAUCAUUGGUUCCAUAUUACAGGUUGCCUAAAACACCAACCAAAUUUUGGGGGUGGGGGGAAGGUAGGCUGGAUAAAUGGCUUAAGAGCUAUUUAUUGAAAUGGACAGUGGAUAUAUUUCAGGAUCCAGGCAGGGGGACUGGCAAGAACAAGGUGCUAACUCUGGCCAUAGAGCUGGCAUUGUAAAGAAGGUGCUGUGUGUCCUGAAUACUGCAGGAAAGCUUGGGAAAUAACAACCUAAGCUUAAGCCUAGGGACUGGGCACAUGGGUGGGGAGGAGUUUUGAUUCAGAAGCUAGCUUGGAGGCCAUCUGCAUCUGCUAGAGCAAUUUCUGUUGAACCCCAUUACUUCAAUUUAGGAACUGGAUAGAGAAAGGAGAAAUGAAUCUGGGAAACCAUCAGUUCAGCUUUAGGAACCAGAAAAAGGCAGGGCUGACAUGAUCCACAGGACAGUGGUUCUCAAACGUUGCUUGGUAUCAGAAUUACUCGGCAACUUAGUAAAAAUGCAAAGACUGAGACUCUCUGUUACUGCAAUAAGCCUAGCCUCUGUGUGCUUCAUUAACAUUCCAGGUAAUUCUAAUACAUAACUAAAGUUUGACAACCACUGUCUUAAAAGGACUAUUGUGUUCCCUAAGGAGUAUGCCAUUUAAUGAUUCAUGAUAAUUAAUUCACUAAAUUAACAGAUGAGCACUAAGCCCUGACACAGUUCAUGGCAGAAAUAUGAAUGUACAUCCUUGCAGGCAGAAAUGGAGAAAAAGAUGGUUAUAACUAAAAGCAUUCCAAGGAAAAGGCCUGUGCUUUUGUGCUAGAAGAACAAAUCAUGACUGGCACUGAUUAAUAGAUUCUGCUCGUUUAGGCUGGCAAAAUGCAAAAGAAUUCUCUUUGCCAGAAAUAGCAAAAUGGACACCCAAGCCAGCAUCUGGAAGUUAUUCUUAAAGAAAUAUGGCAUUAGCUAAAAUUGGAGCGGUGGGUCAGUUUCUUUUUAUCCAUUCAGUGGUCCAUGCUGAAGAAAGGUUAAUGCAAUUUAAACUAAAAUCUUUGUCCUGGUUUUCAUUCUCUUCCUUCUUGUCUCAUUAUGUUUAUUUUCAAAUGUGUUUGACAAACAUAUAUUGUUGGCACUUUUUACUGAUGCUUAUAUGGACUAUAGACUCCAAAUAGUUUUUUUUUUUUUUUUAAAUCAGUCUUAAGUGAGAGGAAUCCAAGAAUAGAAUGUAUACAAUCUUGGUUUAAUUCCAAGUGAUGCCACUUGCUAUUAAAAACUUAGGCAAGUUAUUCAACUUCUCUAAAGUUUUAUAUAUAUUCAUUGACUGCUUUGAAAGAUUAUUUUUAGAGGUGAUAGAGGCAAAAUGCUCAACUCAUAGUAGGUGUUCAGUAAACUGAACUUUACUGUUGUUAAUGAUUGAUACUUCCUAACUCUAUAAACAUCAAAAUACAUUAGAACCACAAGUUGUUUAGGGUUAUGUGCAGUUUAUACCCAUGAGAUUGUAGAUCUGGUUUUCUAUUUUGAAGUAAGAAUUUUAGUGUGGUAAGUAAGAGUAUAGAUUCUAUAUUCAACCUACCAAGUUCAAAUCUCCCUUUGCCAUUCACUACCAGUGUAUCUUUGGAUGAUUUAUUAGACAAUUUAUUUAACCUUUCUCUGUCUUGCUUGCCUCAUCUUUAGAAUAGGAAUAAUAAUUCCUGCCAUGGCUCAGUGAGUUAAGAAUCUGACUACAGUGGCUCUGGUCUCUAUGGAGGUGCAGGUUCUAUCCCUGGCUGAUACAGUGGGUUAAAGGAUUUGAUGUUGCUUCAGCUGUGGCAUAGGUUGCAGCUGUGGCUUGGAUUUAAUCCCUGGCCCAGGAACUCCCAUAUGCCAUUAGUGCAACCAUAAAAUUUAAAAAUAAAUAAAUAAAUUAGGAAUAGUAAUGAUGUAUCAACCUCAUAGGAACUUGUAAGGAUUGAAUUUGUAUUUGUAAA